rnacentral:rRNA from 1 species
UACAGAGGUCUCAAGCGUUGUUCGGAUUCAUUGGGCGUAAAGGGUGUGUAGGCGGCGCGGUAAGUCGGGUGUGAAAUUUCGAGGCUUAACUUCGAAACUGCAUUCGAUACUGCCGUGCUAGAGGACUGGAGAGGAGACUGGAAUUUACGGUGUAGCGGUGAAAUGCGUAGAUAUCGUAAGGAAGACCAGUGGCGAAGGCGGGUCUCUGGACAGUUCCUGACGCUGAGGCACGAAGGCCAGGGGAGCAAACGGG